GGGUACAGUGAAUAACCCAGACACUAAAAAGCAAGGCAGCGGGGGUCCUACCAGCGCGGCUUUUGAUGACGUCGGUGAAUCCGUCCUCAGCGGCAUUUUCUGGGGUCUCCUGCAGACCCCUCAGCUGUGCCAUAACCAAACGCCACGUGCCUCAGCUUCCUCACGCCCCAAACUUUGGAAGGCAGGUCACAUGGAAUCUACACAUGGAAGGACAUAGGCAUUGCAUGCAGGUAUCCGGAAUCAUUGAUAUUGGUCUUAAAAUUUGGAAGUUUCCACUUUUGCUAAGCCAUGUGAGGACACAACAAGAAGGCAUCACCAAUGAAGAAUAGGCCUUCAUCAGACAUCCAAUCUGCAGGCCUCUUGAUCUUGGACUUCCUAAUCUACAGAAUUUGGCACUCCUCCAUCUCUCUGGGAGAUCCAACACUUGAGGGCUUAUGAGCCGUUUCAGUAUGAAUGAAAGGGAGAAGAACAGAACAGAGGCUAUAAAGCAUGGCUUCAGCAUCUGCUUCUGCUGAGAGCCUCAGAAAGCUUCCGGCUAUGGCAGAAAGUGAAGGUCAGCAAGCAUCACAUGAAUUACAAAUCUAGUUUAGCCCAGGACCAGAUGGAUUCACAGCCGAAUUCUACCACAAAUUCAAAGAAGAGCUGGUACCAUUCCUUCUGAAAAUAUUCCAAACAAUUGAAAAGGGGGGACUCCUCCCUAACUCAUUUUAUGAAGCCAGCAUCAUCCUGAUACCAAAACCGGGAAGAGACACAACAAAUAAGAAAACUUCAGGCCAAUAUCCUUGAUGAACAUUGAUGAGAAAAUCCUCAAUAAAAAACUGGCAAACCGAAUCCAGCAGCCCAUCAAAAAACUUAUCCACCACAAUCAAGUUGGCUUCAUCCCUGGGAUGCAAGGCUGGUUAAACAUAUGCAAAUCAAUAAACAUAAUUCAUCAUAUAAACAGAACCAAAGACAAAAACCACAGGAUUAUCUUAAUAGAUGCAGAAAAGGCCUUUGAUACAAUUCGACAUUCCUUCAUGUUAAAAACUCUCAAUAAACUAGGCAUUGAUGGAACACAUUUCAAAAUAAUAAGAGCUGCUUAUGACAAACCCAGAACCAAUAUCAUAUUGAAUAGGCAAAAGCUGAAAUCAUUCCCUUUGAAAACCAGCACAAGACAAGGAUGCCCUCUCUCACCGCUCCUAUUCAACAUAUUAUUGGAAGUUCUGGGCAAGAGAAAGAAAUAGAGUAUUCAAAUAGGAAGAGAGGAAGUCAUGUUGCAUCUGUUUGCAGGUGACAUGAUAUUAUAUUUAGAAAACCCCAUCAUCUCAGCCAGAAAACUUCUUGAAAUGAUAAGCAACUUCAGCAAAGUCUCAGGAUGCAAAAUCAACGUGCAAAAAUCACAAGCAUUCUCUUACACCAACAAUAGGCAAGCAGAAAGCCAAAUCACGAAUGAACUCCCAUUCACAAUCCCUACAAAGAGAAUAAAAUACCUAGGAAUAGAGCUAACAAGGAAUGUGAAGGACCUCUUCAAGAAGAACUACAAACCACUGCUCAAGGAAAUAAGAGAAGGCACAAACAAAUGGAAAAACAUUCCACCCUCAUGGACAGGAAGAAUCAAUAUCAUGAAAAUGGUUAUACUGGCCAAAGUAAUUUAUAGAUUCAAUGCAAUUCUCAUCAAACUACCACUGACAUUCUUCACAGAAUUAGACAAAAACUAUUUUAACUUUCAUGUGGAAUCAAAGAAGACCCGUAUAGCCAAGGCGAUCCUAAACAAAAAGAACAAAGCAGGAGGCAUCACACUACCUGACUUCAAACUAUACUACAAUGCUACAGUAGCCAAAACAGCAUGGUACUGGUACCAAAACAGACAUAUGGACCAAUGGAGCAGAACAGAGACCUCAGAAAGAACACCACACAUCUACAACCAUCUGAUCUUUGAUAAACCUGACAAAAACAAGCAAUGGGGAAAGGAUCUCCUAUUCAGAAAAUGGUGCUGGGAAAACUGGCUAGUCAUAUGCAGAAAACUGAAACUGGACCCGUUCCUUACACCUUGUACAAAAAUUAACUCAAGAUAGAUUAAAGACUUAAAUGUAAAACCCAAAACCAUAAAAACCCUACAAGAAAACCUAGGCAAUACCAUUCAGGAUGUAGGCAUGGGCAAAGACUUCAUGACACAAACACCAAAAACAAUUGCAACAAAAGCCAAAAUUGACAAAUGGAAUCUAAUUAAACUAAAGAGCUUCUGCACAGCAAAAGGAACUAGCAUCAGAGAGAACAGGCAACAUACAGAAUGGGAGAAAUUUUUUGCAAUCUACCCACCUGAUGAAGGUCUAAUAUCCAGAAUUUACAAGGAACUUAAACACAUUUACAGGAAAAAAAAACAACCCCAUCAAAAAGUGGACAAAGGAUAUGAGCAGACACUUCUCAAAAGAAGACAUUUACACAGACAACAAACAUAUAAAAAAUGCUCAACAGCACUGAUCAUCAGAGAAAUGCAAAUCAAAACCACAAAGAGACACCAUCUUACGCCAAUCAGAAUAGCGAUUAUUGAAAACUCAAGAAACAACAGAUGCUGGCGAGGCUGUGGAGAAAUAGGAACUCUUUUACACGGUUGGUGGGAAUGUAAAGUAUUUCAACCAUUGUGGAAGACAGUAUGGCGAUUCCUCAAGGAUCUAGAACCAGAAAUACCAUUUGACCCAGCAAUCCCAUUACUGAGUAUAUACCCAAAGGAAUAUAAAUCAUGCUACUAUAAAGAUAAAUGCACAUGUAUGUUUAUUACAGCACUGUUUACAAUAGCAAAGACAUGGAAGCAACCUAAAUGCCCAUCAAUAAUGAGACCGGAUAAAGAAAAUGUGGUACAUAUACAUCAUGGAAUACUAUGCAGCCAUAAAAAGGAAUGAGAUCAUGUCCUUUUCAGGGGCAUGGAUGAAGCUGGAAGCCAUCAUCCUCAGCAAACUAACACAGGAACAGAAAACCAAACACCGCACGUUCUCACUCAUAAGUGGGAGUUGAACAUUGAGAACAUGAACACAGAGAGGGGAACAACACACACCAGGGCCUAGUAGGGGGUAAAGGGUGAGGGGAGGGAAUUUAUAGGAUGGGUCAAUAGGUGCAGCAAGCCACCAUGGCACACAUAUACCUAUGUAAC
ensembl:lncRNA novel transcript